rnacentral:snRNA from 2 species
AUACCUUUCUCGGCCUUUUGGCUAAGAUCAAGUGUAGUAUCUGUUCUUAUCAGUUUAAUAUCUGAUAUGUGGGUCAUCGACCCACUCGAUAUUAAUCUUAUUUUUUAUGGUGAAGACCUGUCACAGUAGCUUGCUGCUGGGGUCUUCAAGCGUCGCCUUGGUCAUACACUACCACCGAGGCCUGGUGCACCCCUC